rnacentral:rRNA from 1 species
CCUACGGGGGGCUGCAGUGGGGAAUAUUGCACAAUGGGGGAAACCCUGAUGCAGCAACGCCGCGUGAGCGAUGAAGGCCUUCGGGUCGUAAAGCUCUGUCCUAAGGGAAGAAUACUGACGGUACCUUAGGAGGAAGCCCCGGCUAACUACGUGCCAGCAGCCGCGGUAAUACGUAGGUGGCUAGCGUUAUCCGGAAUUACUGGGCGUAAAGGUUGCGUAGGCGGCCAUGCAAGUCAGAGGUGAAAGGCUACGGCUAAACCGUAGUAAGCCAUUGAAACUGUAGGGCUUGGGUGCAUGAUAGGAGAAUGGAUAUCCCAGUGUAGCGGUGAAAUGCGGAGGUAUUGGGAGGAACACCAGUUGCGAAGGCGGCUCUCAGGAAUCUAACUAACGCUGAGUCACGAAAGCGUGGGGAUCGAACAGGAUUAGAUGCCCGGGUAGUC